UACGUAGGGGGCAAGCGUUGCCCGGAAUCAUUGGGCGUAAAGCGCGUGUAGGCGGUCCGGUAAGUCGGCUGUGAAAGUCCAGGGCUCAACCCUGGGAUGCCGGUCGAUACUGCCGGACUAGAGUUCGGAAGAGGCGAGUGGAAUUCCCGGUGUAGCGGUGAAAUGCGCAGAUAUCGGGAGGAACACCAAUGGCGAAGGCAGCUCGCUGGGACGUUACUGACGCUGAGACGCGAAAGCGUGAGGAGCAAACAGG
rnacentral:rRNA from 1 species